rnacentral:rRNA from 1 species
UACGUAGGGGGCAAGCGUUGUCCGGAAUUAUUGGGCGUAAAGCGCGCGCAGGCGGUUCUUUAAGUCUGGUGUCUAAGUGCGGGGCUCAACCCCGUGAUGCACUGGAAACUGGGGAACUUGAGUGCAGAAGAGGAGAGCGGAAUUCCACGUGUAGCGGUGAAAUGCGUAGAUAUCCGGAGGAACACCGGUGGCGAAGGCGGCUUCCUGGACCGACACUGACGCUGAGGCGCGAAAGCGUGGGGAGCAAACAGG